GGACGCGGCGGGGGCGGCGCUGCUGGAGCUGCUGGGGGCGCUGCUGCGGCGCCGGCGCGGCCCCCGCGGCCUGCAGGAGCUCUUUGCCCACCUGGGGCCCUGGAUCCGUUCCCCGCGGGGCGCGGAGCGGGAGCGCGCCCUGGGCCUGAGCCGAGCGCUGCUGGGAUCCUUCCUCGGCGAGCUGCACGUCAGCUCCCUGACCCCGUUCC